UACAGAGGUGCCAAGCGUUGUUCGGAUUUAUUGGGCGUAAAGGGUGCGUAGGCGGUCAUGUAAGUCGGAUGUGAAAUCCCGGAGCCUAACUCCGGAAUGGCAUUCGAAACUGCAUGGCUAGAGAACUGGAGAGGUGACUGGAAUUCUCGGUGUAGCAGUGAAAUGCGUAGAUAUCGAGAGGAACACCAGAGGCGAAAAGCGGGUCACUGGACAGAUUCGUGACGCUGAGGCACGAAAGCUAGGGGGAGCAAACGGGG
rnacentral:rRNA from 1 species